CACUAUCGUUAACUGAAUACAUAGGUUAACGAGGCGAACCGGGGGAACUGAAACAUCUAAGUACCCCGAGGAAAAGAAAUCAACCGAGAUUCCCCCAGUAGCGGCGAGCGAACGGGGAGCAGCCCAGAGUCUGAAUCAGCUUGUGUGUUAGUGGAACGGUCUGGAAAGUCCGACGGUACAGGGUGAUAGUCCCGUACACCAAAAUGCACAGGCUGUGAACUCGAAGAGUAGGGCGGGACACGUGGUAUCCUGUCUGAAUAUGGGGGGACCAUCCUCCAAGGCUAAAUACUCCUGACUGACCGAUAGUGAACCAGUACCGUGAGGGAAAGGCGAAAAGAACCCCGGCGAGGGGAGUGAAAAAGAACCUGAAACCGUGUACGUACAAGCAGUGGGAGCACCUUUAUGGUGUGACUGCGUACCUUUUGUAUAAUGGGUCAGCGACUUAUAUUCUGUAGCAAGGUUAACCGUAUAGGGGAGCCGCAGGGAAACCGAGUCUUAACUGGGCGUUAAGUUGCAGGGUAUAGACCCGAAACCCGGUGAUCUAGCCAUGGGCAGGUUGAAGGUUGGGUAACACUAACUGGAGGACCGAACCGACUAAUGUUGAAAAAUUAGCGGAUGACUUGUGGCUGGGGGUGAAAGGCCAAUCAAACCGGGAGAUAGCUGGUUCUCCCCGAAAGCUAUUUAGGUAGCGCCUCGUGAA
rnacentral:rRNA from 1 species